AUUGAACGCUGGCGGCAGGCCUAACACAUGCAAGUCGAACGAGUGGCGGACGGGUGAGUAAUGUCUGGGAAACUGCCUGAUGGAGGGGGAUAACUACUGGAAACGGUAGCUAAUACCGCAUACCAUCGGAUGUGCCCAGAUGGGAUUAGCUAGUAGGUGGGGUAAAGGAUUACGUAGGCGACGAUCCCUAGCGGGUCUGAGAGGAGGACCAGCCACACUGUAACUGAGACACGGUCCAUACUCCUACGGUAGGCAGCAGUGGGGAAUAUUGCACAAUGGGCGCAGGCCUGAUGCAGCCAUGCCGCGUGUAUGAAGAAGGCCUUCGGGUUGUAAAGUACUUUCAGCGGGGAGGCGUUACCCGCAGAAGAAGCACCGGCUAACUCCGUGCCAGCAGCCGCGGUAAUUC
rnacentral:rRNA from 1 species